GAGGAUUAGGGCCAAUGAAGAAAGAAAAAAUAAGGUUGACAAGAUUCUGACUUUAAUCUCAGAAUUCUCACUUUAAAGUCAGAAUUCUGACUUUAAUCUCAGAAUUCUGACUUUGUGACGUUCGUGGAGCUAUGAAUUGUGGGGGGACCGUCAGCGUGUGGCGUGACUUGAAAGAAAGUACAUCAUGUCAUCACCCAGCGACUUUUUGCGUGGCCGAGGAGUGUCGGAGGACAUCCUUUCACUUUUGGUGGAGCAGAGGAUAAAGUGACUGAUGGAGGAUGCAACUCAAACAGUGGCUGGAAAUCCAGAUUUGGAUGACAUGAUCAAGCUAUGUUUUAGACUUGGAUUUAGCAAUAAGGAAAUACUUGCAAUUUUAGCACAUAAUGCUGAAACUAUUUUAAGUAUUCGGACUCUGAAAAGGAUAUGCAAAAGACUUGGUCUUUUUCGAAGAAAGAACCAGUCAGACCUGGGAGACGUGUUGGCUUUUGUCCAGCACGAGAUCAUGACUAGUGGACAGAUGCAAGGUUA